AUGCGAUUUGCUGGCGACUCUGGACGGGAGGCCCUGGCGUGCAGCUUGGAUGGGCUGCGUGCACGGUUCAGAUGGGCCAGAAGCGUCGUGCCGCCGGUCGCCCCUACCUACCCCAGCGUGAGCCCGGCGGCCUUCCUCCACCGCUGGGUCGUCGGGUCUGGUGCGGCCUACCCACCGUCAAGGAUCCCCCCACCCCUUCCUUCCGGCGAGCCCCAUGAUAUCCAUAGAGCCUACGGGCGUCGGAUCCCUGCACCAACCGCCUGGAUCCACCGCACACCCCGCCGCCAUGUCGUGCCGUCGAGACCUCCCAGGUACACCGCGACGCCUCACCCAGAAACCGAUGAACUGCAGGCCACCACCCAUGAAGCCGCCGCGGGAGCACUAGUGAGCUGCUCCACAUUUAGUGAUUGA
rnacentral:rRNA from 1 species